CCAAGAGUUUGGAGGCCUCCUCUGAAGCUGUCUUCAGAAUCAGGUUAGGAGGCAGAGCGUAAAAUGGCACAUUAUUGUAUGAUUGCCCCUUAUUCUGACCUCCCGCAAUUAUAUUUCUAAGGUAAGUCACAUUCCCGGUUCCACAGGUGUGACUGGCAAAGCCACCUGCCAAGAUCUGCCAACACCAAGGAUGAGAACAUGGCGGGGAAUGUUCUUGGGGCCUCAGAGGUUCUGAGCAUGGCACCCCCUUUGGAAUAGGGGUGAGCUUCCCAAGGGGAGAACUUCUGUGAGCAUACUAUCCAUUUGCCAAGGGUAAAGGUUAUUUAAGGCCCGAGUACAAACAUUAGCAGAGGAAGAUCCCGUGGAGAUUGUCAAAAGGAAACGUUACCCAAAGCCUGAAACGUUAGAAGAAGCUGAUGAAGAUGCGUGGGCCAGAGAGAGCCCCAGAGAAGCUCUCCUAUCUCCCCAGCCGCUUCACUCACCACGGGCAAAACAAUCACACAGCGGAGAAUGGCAAUGAGGACGACCACGACAACACCUUCCUCUACUUCCGGUUCUGCUCUUCCGCCCAGAACUCGCUGUGCAACCUCAGGCAAGUUACCGCCUCUCUCUGAUCCUCAGUGUCCUCAUUAGUCAAGUUAAACAUCGAGAUUCCUGGUAUCCCCUCCAGCUCUCAGACUGAGGGAUGCUUCUGCAGCCAUGAUCUCUUUUGCUUUCACCCCCUUCCUGAGGAGAUGAGCAGGUCAGACUGGCCACAUGCCGCUCGGAGAAGGUGGCAGGGUUCAGCGCCAGAUCCUAGACUAGAGCUGUUGACUUCCAACACCAGGUCCAAUGUCAGCUGACUCCACUAAGCUGCCUACAAGGCUGUGGACAGAGCUUGCCCAGGACCUAUGCACGUCUAACCUCUUGCAACAGAAAGGGUGACAGACACUCUGAAGCCACCGCAUGGAAUCCCUGGCCACCCCAAGGGAUCAGUAUCUGGGGGUGGUUCCUUCUGUCCUUCCCUCCUCCCCUCCUGCCUUCCUUCCUCUGAUUUGCAGAGAGGAGAGAACAGUAGAGGAAGUAGAAGAUGCUGCGGGAAAGACAGGGGUGGCUUGGAUGACUUCCUGAAGCCCCUGCCAGGUGUCAAAUUAACAGGGGGAAGAGAAGAAACCACCGUAAGCAUGGUGUGUGCGUGUGUGUGUGCGUGUGUGUGUGUGUGUGUGUGUGUGUGUGUGUGUGUGUUGGUAAAUGGUGAGAAUGAAGAGCUAAGUGUGGAAAAAGCCCUCACAGCCACCUGUAUUUCCUCUCUAAUUACUCUGUGUUUUAUAUUUCUUCACAAAUCAAUGAGCUUCCUGUUAAACAUUAGGCGAACCUUCACGAGUCAGGGGGAAGGACAGAAGCUCCCCCAUGAAGACGCGCCAGCUGG